GCGAGUGAAGCGGCAACAGCUCAAAUUUGAAAGCUGGCUCCGGCCCGCAUUGUAAUUUGCAGAGGAUGCUUCUGGUGAGGUGCCUUCCGAGUUCCCUGGAACGGGACGCCAUAGAGGGUGAGAGCCCCGUAUGGAUGGACACCAAGCCUGUGUGAAGCUCCUUCAACGAGUCGAGUAGUUUGGGAAUGCUGCUCUAAAUGGGAGGUAAAUCUCUUCUAAAGCUAAAUACCGGCCAGAGACCGAUAGCGCACAAGUAGAGUGAUCGAAAGAUGAAAAGCACCUUGAAAAGGGGGUUAAACAGUACGUGAAAUUGUUGAAAGGGAAGCGCUUGUGACCAGACUUGCGCCGGGCAGCUCAUCAGGGGUUCUCCCCUGUGCACUCUGCCCGGCUCAGGCCAGCAUCGGUUCUCGUGGGAGGAUAAGAACGGUAGGAACGUGGCCCCCUUCCGGGGGGGUGUUAUAGCCUACCGUACGAUACUCCCGUGGGGACCGAGGUUCGCGCUCCGCAAGGAUGCUGGC
rnacentral:rRNA from 1 species